rnacentral:rRNA from 1 species
AGAGUGAACGCUGGCGGCAGGCCUAACACAUGCAAGUCGAACGGCAGCACAGAGGAGCUUGCUCCUUGGGUGGCGAGUGGCGGACGGGUGAGGAAUACAUCGGAAUCUGCCUUAUCGUGGGGGAUAACGUAGGGAAACUUACGCUAAUACCGCAUACGACCUACGGGUGAAAGCGGAGGACCUUCGGGCUUCGCGCGAUAAGAUGAGCCGAUGUCGGAUUAGCUAGUUGGCGGGUAAAGGCCCACCAAGGCGACGAUCCGUAGCUGGUCUGAGAGGAUGAUCAGCCACACUGGAACUGAGACACGGUCCAGACUCCGUACGGGAGGCGGCAGGUGGGAAUAUGGAACAAGUGGGCGACAAGCCUGAUCCAGCCAUCGCCGCGUGUGUAGAAGAAGGUCCGUUAGGUAGUAAAGUC